rnacentral:rRNA from 2 species
AUAGGGGAGCCGAAGGGAAACCGAGUCUUAACUGGGCGUUAAGUUGCAGGGUAUAGACCCGAAACCCGGUGAUCUAGCCAUGGGCAGGUUGAAGGUUGGGUAACACUAACUGGAGGACCGAACCGACUAAUGUUGAAAAAUUAGCGGAUGACUUGUGGCUGGGGGUGAAAGGCCAAUCAAACCGGGAGAUAGCUGGUUCUCCCCGAAAGCUAUUUAGGUAGCGCCUCGUGAACUCAUCUUCGGGGGUAGAGCACUGUUUCGGCUAGGGGGUCAUCCCGACUUACCAACCCGAUGCAAACUGCGAAUACCGAAGAAUGUUAUCACGGGAGACACACGGCGGGUGCUAACGUCCGUCGUGAAGAGGGAAACAACCCAGACCGCCAGCUAAGGUCCCAAAGUCACAGUUAAGUGGGAAACGAUGUGGGAAGGCUCAGACAGCCAGGAUGUUGGCUUAGAAGCAGCCAUCAUUUAAAGAAAGCGUAAUAGCUCACUGGUCGAGUCGGCCUGCGCGGAAGAUGUAACGGGGCUAAACUGUGCACCGAAGCUGCGGCAGCGACGCUUAUGCGUUGUUGGGUAGGGGAGCGUUCUGUAAGCCUGCGAAGGUGUCCUGUGAGGGAUGCUGGAGGUAUCAGAAGUGCGAAUGCUGACAUAAGUAACGAUAAUGCGGGUGAAAAGCCCGCUCGCCGGAAGACCAAGGGUUCCUGUCCAACGUUAAUCGGGGCAGGGUGAGUCGACCCCUAAGGCGAGGCCGAAAGGCGUAGUCGAUGGGAAACGGGUUAAUAUUCCCGUACUUGGUGUUACUGCGAAGGGGGGACGGAGAAGGCUAUGUUGGCCGGGCGACGGUUGUCCCGGUUUAAGCGUGUAGGCUGGUUUUCCAGGCAAAUCCG